GCCAACCAGGGGCACUUUGGCAGUUUCCUUUAAAACUAAAUAUGCAAUCAUCACUCCACCCAGUAACCGUACUCUUGGGCAUUUUUUAUCAUAGAAAUGGGAACAUAUUCACAAAGAACUCCUACAUGAGUGUUCAUGGCAGCUUUACUUGUCCUGGCCCCAAAACUAUAAACAACCUGGAUGCCCUUCAGUGACCGGUGUAACAAACUGUGGCACAUCCAGAACGUGGAAUACGACUGAGCAACGAAAAGGAACCAGCUACUGGUACAGGCACCAACUUGGAUGAAUCGCAAGUGAAUUAUGCCAAGUGAAAAAAAGCAAUCCCAAAAAGAGAAUUGUUAUCAACAAGCAAAAAAGAUGGAGGAGAAUGUUCAUUCAGCCCAGCUACAUGGGAAAUGGUAUGAGGACCUACACCAGGGCCUCAGCACAGAGGGGGCUUAUAGUGCCUUCCUCUGGGAAGUCUGGCAGCACAGAGCCCCCACCUGAGACGAUAAGCCCGUCCUCGGAACAGAAGAUCGACCCUGAGGCCCCUGAAGGCAGUGACUAUGUGGUUUCCAUCCCUGUAAUCCUGUCUCCAGCCCAGAAGAGGCACCCAGGCAAAGGUCUGCUGACAUUUAGGAGAUACGACCCUGCUCCUGACUUUACCCCAAAAGAGGUAUAGGCCUACAGGGCCUUCCCCCGGAAGAAGCCCGUGAGGAUGCAGCAAGUAGCAAAGCGUCUGUAGGAACUGACUUGGCAAGCGGAAGACAGAGAUGCUGGGACAAGUCGUGACUACAGGCUUCUUCCUCACACCCCCGGACCCAUCCCUGAUCAAUUUUUUCCCAGCCACCUUGAAAGCCCAAUAUGGUGACAUUUGGGGAGAUCUCUUUGAAAGAACACCUACCCAAGUGAAGGUCACCAACCUCCCCACCCGCCCCGACAAUGGUGCAGGGUACGAAGUGGGUGAUUGGCGGCUAACCGUCAUAAUUACCAGUGUUCAGUGUCGGCUCAGGAAUCUGCAGUGGCCCAGUCAAUGUCCGAGGUCCUUACACCUGCGUCUUACAUUUGAUCCCCUCAGGAGAUGUUUUCACCAUCUCCUUGCGUGCUGCUGAGGAAACGGGGGCUCAGAGAGGUUGAGGGACUUGCUCAGCGUCACACAGCAAGUCACGCUCUAUCUGGUAAGUAGCGCAGACCCUAUAGGUUUCAAUCUCCAGAACCCGACCUUCCCAGCAUCCAGUCUCACAAGUAGUAAAAAUACGAGCUCACCGAUGAACACCACCGCACACGCAUUCCUUCAAGGCUUAGAAGCCACUGCAGAAAGACAAGUUUGGUCUCCUCCCGCUGGUGGAGAGCACACUCCCACAAAGACCUCCAGCCCGAGCCAGCACCCCCGAGAGCACCUGAAGAAAGUGGACUUUACC